UCAAAACUACACAAAGUUUGGUUUAUUGAAUACAAAAUAAGCAUUUAAAAAUAUAAUAUUAAGCAUGGAAUUAACUUUAUCAAACUAAAAUUUACACUAAAUUAUGAAAUGAAUAUUAAAAAUCAGAAAUUGUAAGAAUGAUUAUAAGAAUAAUAAUAAUAACAAUAAGGUUCACUAAAGAAAUGGAUUAAAAUCACAUCACAGAUUACAUAAGAUGUAUUGCAGCAACAGUUUGUUUAACUUGUAUAUACAGCAGUAAAGAAAAAAAUCUUUGAGACCUAUAGGAAUGCCACCUUCACCUGUUCUUAAAAUGCCACUGAGAAUGUUGUAUAGACAACACACUGACUAAACACUUUCACUUUCCCCCAAUAGAUGUUAGGCAACUGUUCAAUAUUAGUUAAGGGUGGACUCAAUCAUUCAUGCCAGAUAAAUAAAUGAGGAUUUCAAAAGUUUAAACAAAUCUCAUCUUACUUUAUUUAUUACAAAUAGUUCUUCUGUUUAUUUACAUAAACUAAAGCUGGACUACAGAGAUUAGCACUUAAUACAUAAAAAAAAAUGCACCUUUUGGGGUGAGCCAGCAGUGUGAUGAAGCUCUUGGCUUCCUUAGCUAGGGCUCUUUAGUGAUUGUGAUUGCUGGAUUAUUAGGACAACUUGAGUUCACCCAUCUCUAAUUUGUACAUGGCAUUUUGGGGGAAAGUAAAGAUGAACAAAUGGCUAACCACAUGACACCCCCAUUCACUGUUAGCCACAGAAAUAGAUGGCCUUUUUAACAUCCGCCCAAAUGACAACUAAAUCUCAAUGAAAAAAAUUUCCAUUGUAAUGAGUACUUCAAUAGCUACAACAGUUACUAGA